CAGUCGGGGAAGUAUUGCACAAUGGGGGAAACCCUGAUGCAGCCAUGCCGCGUGUGUGAAGAAGGCCUUACGGGGUUGUUAAAGCACUUUCAGUAGGGAGGAACGGUAGUGUAGUUAACACCUGCAUUAUUUGACGUUACCUACAGAAGAAGCACCGGCUAACUCCGUGCCAGCAGCCGCGGUAAUACGGAGGGUGCGAGCGUUAAUCGGAAUUACUGGGCGUAAAGCGCAUGCAGGCGGCCUGUUAAGUCAGAUGUGAAAGCCCGGGGCUUAACCUCGGAAUUGCAUUUGAAACUGGCAGGCUAGAGUCUUGUAGAGGGGGGUAGGAAUUUCAGGUGUAGCGGUGAAAUGCGUAGAGAUCUGAAGGAAUACCAGUGGCGAAGGCGGCCCCCUGGACAAAGACUGACGCUCAGAUGCGAAAGCGUGGGGAGCAAACAGGAUUAGAUACCCUGGUAG
rnacentral:rRNA from 1 species